GAUGAACGCUGGCGGCGUGCCUAAUAUAUGCAAGUCGAGCGAAUGGAUUAAGAGCUUGCUCUUAUGAAGUUAGCGGCGGACGGGUGAGUAACACGUGGGUAACCUGCCCAUAAGACUGGGAUAACUCCGGGAAACCGGGGCUAAUACCGGAUAACAUUUUGAACCGCAUGGUUCGAAAUUGAAAGGCGGCUUCGGCUGUCACUUAUGGAUGGACCCGCGUCGCAUUAGCUAGUUGGUGAGGUAACGGCUCACCAAGGCAACGAUGCGUAGCCGACCUGAGAGGGUGAUCGGCCACUCUGGGACUGAGACACGGCCCAGACUCCUACGGGAGGCAGCAGUAGGGAAUCUUCCGCAAUGGACGAAAGUCUGACGGAGCAACGCCGCGUGAGUGAUGAAGGCUUUCGGGUCGUAAAACUCUGUUGUUAGGGAAGAACAAGUGCUAGUUGAAUAAGCUGGCACCUUGACGGUACCUAACCAGAAAGCCACGGCUAACUACGUGCCAGCAGCCGCCGUAA
rnacentral:rRNA from 1 species